AAGCCUCCUGGAUGAGAACUCAAGCAAGUCCAGUUGCCUUCGAUACGGCACCUUUAUUUACCAUGACCUGGACGAGUGAGAACCUUCAUCAACACAAAAACAAGAUUGUAGUGCUUCAUGAGCGCAAUCAAGACCUAAAAGGCUACAACAGUGAGGAGUAGCAACGAUACCAAGGACAGGAGCUAAACGCAAGGAAGAAACAACAAAUACUGUCAGUGCAAAUGUUCCGGUGUUGGAAUGUCGGAUUCAUUGGCUGCUCAGUGAGCGAGACAAAAAGCAGCAGAUAAUUGAUGACUUCAGCUUCCUCAAGAAAGUAAGGUGCCAGUUGAAGGAAAAGAAAGUGUUUGGAAGUUGUGAGGAAAACAGGCUCAGUAGAGGCCGGGAGUAAACAAAGGAAUACAUGCUGACAGAAUCAUCCUGACGAAAACUGGUGUCUGUUUUUGCCUACUGUGCGUAUUAAACGUACACAAAGAGGGACAAAAUGAGGCGACGACACAUUUUGAAGCGUUCUCUUCCUCAUAGCGGUGAUCAAUGGAGGAUCACCUUGCUGAGAAACACAGCUCUCGUGGAAGUAUUCUGGUCAAGAGCUCAUUAUCUCUACAAGCCAUCUCUCUGAGUUAUGGAUGAGUGGUUGCUCAAAACACUACAGUUGCACACUCGUGACCCAGCAUGUGACAUCCCCGGUGGCGCAGCGU